UACUCAUCCUAAUGGCUGGUUUUGGCUGC
rnacentral:piRNA from 1 species